AGGGCGAACGCUGGCGGCGUGCUUAACACAUGCAAGUCGAGCGGAAAGGCCCUUCGGGGUACUCGAGCGGCGAACGGGUGAGUAACACGUGAGUAACCUGCCCCUAGCUCUGGGAUAGCUCCGGGAAACCGGGAUUAAUACCAGAUACGACCACUUUAGACAUCUGUCGUGGUGGAAAGGAUUCCGGCUAGGGAUGGGCUCGCGGCCUAUCAGCUUGUUGGUGGGGUAACGGCCUACCAAGGCGACGACGGUAGCCGGCCUGAGAGGGCGACCGGCCACACUGGGACUGAGACACGGCCCAGACUCCUACGGGAGGCAGCAGUGGGAAUAUUGCGCAAUGGGCGAAAGCCUGACGCAGCGACGCCGCGUGGGGGAUGAAGGCCUUCGGGUUGUAAACCCCUUUCAGCAGGGACGAAGCGAAAGUGACGGUACCUGCAGAAGAAGCGCCGGCUAACUACGCGCCAGCAGCCGC
rnacentral:rRNA from 1 species